GAUGAACGCUAGCGGCAGGCUUAAUACAUGCAAGUCGAGGGGCAGCACGGUUAGCAACAACUGGUGGCGACCGGCGCACGGGUGCGUAACACGUAUACAAUCUACCUUAAACAGGGGGAUAGCCUUUCGAAAGAGAGAUUAAUACCCCGUAAUAAAUUGAACGGCAUCGUUUGAUUUUGAAAGCUCCGGCGGUUUGAGAUGAGUAUGCGUCUGAUUAGCUAGUUGGUGAGGUAACGGCUCACCAAGGCGACGAUCAGUAGGGGAUCUGAGAGGACUAACCCCCACACUGGUACUGAGACACGGACCAGACUCCUACGGGAGGCAGCAGUAAGGAAUAUUGGUCAAUGGAGGCAACCCUGAACCAGCCAUGCCGCGUGCAGGAUGACGGCCCUAUGGGUUGUAAACUGCUUUUAUACAAGAGAAAACCCUGGUACGUGUACCAGGUUGAUAGUAUUGUAAGAAUAAGCAUCGGCUAACUUCGUGCCAGCCGCCGCGGUAAAAC
rnacentral:rRNA from 1 species